UCAUGGCUCAUCGCGGAAGGAAUCAUUUAACCCCGACUGCGAUACCAGCAGGAAGUUGAGUUCUCUUCUUGCCCAGCAGAUAUAUUGACCAAUGGUUCCUGAAUGGACCUUUGCUUUAAGCCUCAUAUCACUGGUCAUACUCCGGAUCCUACAAGUUUUUCAAUAUGAUAUGGUCCCCAUAAGUCUCAUGUCUACCAGCGAUUCGGCAUAAAUUAUGCAUCGAGAUCGGGAGAUUUACCGUCAUAGCAUCAAUCGGAAGGAGACAAGGAAAGGCCGGCAAUGGAAAGAUCCGGGAAAUUUAGAGUCGAGAUUUUGUAUAAGUCAAUUGCUAUGUAAUUUGUUUAUUUACAAUCCGUCAAUUAAAAUAAUUCAAAAUAUAUCCUAAUA